rnacentral:rRNA from 1 species
ACGCUCGACACCUACUGGAGGCAGCAGUGGGGAAUAUUGCACAAUGGGGGAAACCCUGAUGCAGCGACGCCGCGUGGAGGAAGAAGGUCUUCGGAUUGUAAACUCCUGUUGUUGGGAAAAGAGGAUGGUACCCAACAAGGAAGUGACGGCUAACUACGCGCCAGCAGCCGCGGUAAUCUGAGCGGGCUGGCAAGGC